rnacentral:rRNA from 1 species
GACGUAGGGCGCGAGCGUUGUCCGGAAUCAUUGGGCGUAAAGCGCGUGUAGGCGGUCCGGUAAGUCCGCUGUGAAAGUCGGGGGCUCAACCCUCGAAAGCCGGUGGAAACUGUCGGGCUAGAGUGCGGAAGAGGCGAGUGGAAUUCCUGGUGUAGCGGCGAAAUGCGCAGAUAUCAGGAGGAACACCAAUUGCGAAGGCAGCUCGCUGGGACGUUACUGACGCUGAGACGCGAAAGCGUGGGGAGCAAACAGG